rnacentral:rRNA from 1 species
ACGUAGGGUCCGAGCGUUAUCCGGAAUUACUGGGCGUAAAGAGUUCGUAGGCGGAUUUUUAAGUCAGGUGUUAAAUAUGCAGGCUCAACUUGCAUGCCGCAUCUGAUACUGAGAGUCUUGAGAGUGGAAGAGGUAAGCGGAAUUUCCGGUGGAGCGGUAAAAUGCGUAGAUAUCGGAAAGAACACCAAUGGCGAAGGCAGCUUACUGGGCCAUUUCUGACGCUGAGGAACGAAAGCGUGGGGAGCGAUCGGGAUUAGAUACCCCGGUAGUCCACGCCGUAAACGAUGUCUACUAGCUUUUUCGAGUAUCGACCCUUGGAGAAGCGAAGCUAACGCGUUAAGUAGACCGCCUGGGGAGUACGAGCGCAAGCUUA